GCCUAUAGCUCAGUGGCAGAGCACUGGUCUUGUAACCAGGGGUCGAGAGUUCGAUCCUCUCUGGAGGCA
rnacentral:tRNA from 1 species